AUUAAUUGUAAAAAUGAAAUGAUUCCCAAUGUGCCAAUACAUUUGUAUAUAAAAGGCAAGCGGAAGAUUUCAUGCACAUUUUGAACAUAGGAGAUUAUUUUCGAUCACCCACACGAUAUCUUACACAAGCAUGGUUAGCAAGUUGUCAGUUGCCCUUCUUUUUCUCGGAACUGUUUGCUUCCUAAUGGAGAUCAAAGAAGCGGAAGCCGGUAUUAGAACUGGGCAGGGACCAGGACCAAACCAAGAACCAUGUGUGAGCGGACCAGGCACAGAUGGCAAGACAUAUCAAUAUGAUGCAACCUGGAAAGACAGUCUAGGAAGAUCAUGCAAGUGCUUCCCUCAUGGCAUUUCUGUUUGCACGAAGGAUGAAGACUAAAUAACUCUCUGAAAUGAAAGAACCUACUCUGCUUGAAUGUCAACAAAAAAAAAAAUAAUUCGAUUCCAUUUUGUUCAGUGCCAUGGAAUUUAUGAUCAAUAAAACUGUUAUCUUUA